GGCGGGGCUAUUCACCUGGCUGGGUGGAGCUAGGUGUGGACUGGGCGGGGCUAGGUGUGGACUGGGCGGGGCUAGGUGUGGACUGGGCGGAGCUACUCACCUGGACUGGGCGGGGCUAGGUGUGGACUGGGCGGGGCUACUCACCUGGACUGGGAGGGGCUAGGUGUUGACUGGGUGGAGCUAGGUGUGGACUGGGCGGGGCUAGGUGUGAACUGGGCGGAGCUACUCACCUGGACUGGGUGGAGCUAGGUGUGGACUGGGCGGGGCUAGGUGUGGACUGGGCGGAGCUACUCACCUGGACUGGGUGGAGCUAGGUGUGAACUGGGCGGGGCUAGGUGUGGACUGGGCGGAGCUACUCACCUGGACUGGGCGGGGCUAGGUGUGGACUGGGUGGAGCUAGGUGUGGACUGGGCGGAGCUACUCACCUGGACUGGGUGGAGCUUCCGGGCCACUGAGCCGAUGCCCUCCACGGUGGUGAUGGCGGAGAGGUGCAGCGAACACACAGGAGCC